UACAGGUGGGCGACUGUUGUCUGAUCUCCAUUGGUGUGGUCAGGGGAGAGCGUGGACCUUUGACUUGUGGGAUCCAGGUCUGACCCAGCUCACUGCUCCUCUCUGUCUCUUUCAGAAUCGGGGUCUCACCUGGCCUGCAAGGUCUAUCUUCCUCAUGGAGGUGUCUUUCACGUUCUGGGAUCUGCCACCACCUCCAGGCAGUCUUCCCAGCCCUGCCCCAGGCUGACCCUUCUCUGUUGUCCUGGGGUCCUGGCCUCCUCGCCAUCCCUCACCAUCUGCUUUGCAUCCUGUUCCACCUGGGAUUUAGAUGCCUUUCAUUUGAAAAAAAAAAAAAAGAAGUAUCCAUUCAAUACUCCAGAGGGACUUGAAAACUGUUCUUCCCUGAACUAAAGCUGGAAUAUCAUGGGAUGUGAAGAAUCAAGGCCGGGCUGAGGUUUCAGAGGUGUUCCGAGCUCCUGUGGAGAUUUGCUUCUCUCCAGCCUUGGGCCCUCCGCACUCUUGAACAUCUCAGGGCCCAGAAGAAAAAGACAAAAGCCAACCAGUUCUGGAAGCAGCCUGGGUGAAGAGAGAUGAGGAAACUGCUACUCAGAGUUAAACAACUUGGCAGAUGUUACGUAGCUAGAGACUGGGAAACACUUCACAAAGGGGAUGGUCGCAGUAGUAACACUGACCUAGAGAGAAAUGAAUCCUUUAGCCCGGUGACUAGAAGACACAUGAAACUAGAAAAGGGAGCCUAGAACAUCACUGCAUUUCCCUCAUAUAGGAGGAGCACACCCCUCCCUUUCACCCCCUCUCCCAAAACACAUAAUACCUUUUACUGGUGAUUUGGUCAGUGCUGAGCUCUCUUCAUUUAAUGUGGUUUUGACAGAAUAUUUGGUCUGGAAAUUUUCUUUUCAAUUAAACUUCCUUGUUGAACUGCCUUGGUUUUGAAAGGAUUCCAUUAGGUUGGCUAAUUAUAUAGCAGUUGUUACAAGGAGAUAUUUGCACCCAAUUUCAGCUCUUAGGUAAUUCGAAUCAAAUGCUUUCUCUUUUCCUCCCUGGAGCUGUGUGCGACCAUCUUCCUCUCACACUGCAGGCUUCUCAUGAGUUAUUUUUGGAAUUUCAAAUCAAAACAGCAAUUUUGGCGGAUGGGAGAAUGAGUGGAUGCUCUAGCCUGGCAGAGUAAACCAUAUGUACUGAUAAAAACAGCCAAAGAGUCGGUGCCUUUAAAAAGCAGCAAAACCAUCUCCCUCUGUGAAGAAGGUUCAAUUUGGGGGACCUACAGACUAUUUCUGGCACUAUCAUAUUCCUCUGUGAACUCUAACCGAAGUCAAAGACAGUUGAGGUUCUUUGAAAAUUACUGGAGGUUUGUCCAUUUGCAAAGUGGUGUCGUGGUCCUUUUGUUUCAAGAUAGCGGGUCUUGGCAGAAUUUACUGAUGAUUCUUUCAGCCGCUGGAUCUGCCGUGAAACGUGGAAAUCACUUUAUUUUCCCCACUCUGUGCUGUUUUCUUCUUUCACCAGAGCACAUGUAACAUACCUGAUGGUGCAUACCAAGCGAACAAACCUCCCUGCUCACUGGUUAGAGUAUAAGCUCCUUGUAGGCAGGGGCUGUCCUUUUCAUCUUCUUUUAUUCCUGGUGCAUAGUUGGAGCUCAGAUAGUUGAGUGAAUAGAUAGAUGAAUGAAUAAUAUCCUAUUUCUAUUUUUCUCUUUUUUUAAACAUCAGUCACUUAUUACAUAACUAGUAACUGAAUGUUUUCACCUUGGGAAAAAUAAUCUUUCCAAAUAAGGCUAAUGUCCUUUUUGAUCACCGCCCCCAAUUCUUGUUUCCUCAUGCCCUCUGCUUUUUAGGUGAUCACGUUGGAACACAUCCUUGCAGACCUUUCCAGUGCAUUCACACACACACACACACACACACACACACACACACACACACACACACACAGAGUACUGUUUUGGAUAAACAGAUUUUUUUUCAACUUGCCUUCUCGAACUCAGCCAUAUAUCAAGGAGUGCUAUCCAUUUCAGCUGCCUUACCCUUUGUAACUGCUACAUGGUUUUAUUGCAUUGUGUGGAUAUAACACCUUUUAUUUGGACCAAAUGAAUCCACUCUUUGGCUGCUUCCACGCCCAUAACAGUUCAGGAUCCCUUCUCCUGUACACGUUGACAGACUAACCAUGUCCACUGCUGUCUUUUGGUAGCUACAAUACAUUUCAUGAAAAUCAGCCACCUGCCUUGGAGAUUAUGCCAAACCUGUGGACAGAAUCACGCGAGACGCUCAGGAUUGCCUCAGGCACCUGAACACGCCUGUCUGCAGAAGCUCGGGAAGUGCUCUCGGCCCUGGGAAUUCCACGGGUCUCGAUAUGGGAGUGAUGUUAGAGCCGGGGUCGGCUCUGCCCCUAGCUGACUGGGUUUCAUUGGGCAGGUCAUCUCCUCUCCCUAUACCUGACUUUUCUUAUCUGUACAGUGGGCUCAGUGAACCUCUUUCAGCUCUUAGAAUCUGAAUAAUAGGGUUUAGACAGUACCACCAGAUUGACCUACAGAAUAUAUUAGUUUACAUGCCACUUUGGGUCGGAAUGGGAAAGGGGAUAUUUAAAACUAUAUUUAAAUUUUCAUUUAAUUAAUUAAAUAUAUUUUAUUAUAUUUUAAUUAAAAUAUAUUUAAAACAUUUAAAAUAGAGAUUUGGCCCAGAGCUCUUAGAUGUCAUGAACAAUCCACGAUUGCCAGGAACUUUACUGACUUUGGGUCUUACUCUUCUUUCUUCUUACUUUAUUAUCCAAUUAAAAUGUAUAUAUUUUUUCCUUUGCUUUGUGUGGUCUUUUCAUUCUGAGCAAGGCAGGGUGGUAUUGGGGAAGGGGGUUAUGGACCCCUGAGUUCUACCUGCAGGUUUGUCUAGUUCCAGCUCUGUGUCCUUAGGCAAGUCCCGAACCUUCUCUGAGUUUCCAUCUAUUAAUAUUAUUACUCCAAAUGAGCCAAGUAUCCACUUUAUAAAAAAGUUAAAAAAACACACUCACUUGUGAAUGUUUCACCUGACAUUUCUGAGCCCUGUCACCUGCGGAUGGAUCAUCUCAUGAAUUGAUGAGGCAUCUUAAGAGACCACCAAAACCCAUGAAAUGGUCUCGUUUCACAUGAGAAUUGUGCAGCUGCCUUGGCCCCUGGUGACACACACCAAGUCUUUCAGUGGGUUCCCAGGGAGGCCCAGAGAAGCUUCUGCGCUGCCAUGAUUCAUCAGUAGAGUUUCCCCCCUGAGCCCCAAGGCUGGGUUGAUCGUGUAUUCCCCUGCUUGGAGAUGCAGGACCACAGGGGUCACAGGGGCUGAAUCACACCCCAGUGGGUUUCCCUGGGGAUCCCGGGAAGGCUUUCCCACGUGGGGCGAGAGUUCUGGCCUCUUAUCUUGGCAUUUCACAUCAGUCUGGAGAGAGCAGGGGUUCUGCAGGUGAAAGGUCAGGGUGAAUGGGUGUGAAAGCUGCGUGGGAGCCCUAGCCCACAAGGUCUCUGGGGGUUUGGUUUUCCUGUUCCCAACAUGGUUUUGCACCUCUACUGUGAGCUUCUGUUUCUGAACACCGCUCGGGCUAAGCGUUCCCCGAUCGAGCAGGUCUGUAUGGGAAAGAGGCCCGUCUGUGACGCUCUUCUCCUGAGAGCUCCUGGGGCCGGUGACUCUACCUCUCCAGCCUCAGCUUCCUGCGCUGCUGGGUCUUCUCUGAGAAGACUCUGCAUAGGUGCUCAGCCCUUGUUACCUUCCUUCCCUUUCCCUUUCUUAAAUGGAAGAACAUACUUUUCUAGGCUCUGAAUCUGUAACUGAGCUUCCAGAAGCCGAACAUAAGCAUUUUCCACGUGAACCAAAAGAAGACAAAAAGCACAAUGAAAGAAUAUCACGAACACGGUACAUAUCUUAAAUUAUGGGGAAAAAAAUACAAAGGAAUGAUGGGUGGUUUCCAUUUACCAACCUUCACUCUCUGCGAAUUUUUUAGCAGCUGCCCACCUCACCCGUGGACCC